GACGAACGCUGGCGGCGUGCUUAACACAUGCAAGUCGAACGGAAAGGCCCUGCUUUUGUGGGGUGCUCGAGUGGCGAACGGGUGAGUAACACGUGAGUAACCUGCCCUUGACUUUGGGAUAACUUCAGGAAACUGGGGCUAAUACCGGAUAGGAGCUCCUGCUGCAUGGUGGGGGUUGGAAAGUUUCGGCGGUUGGGGAUGGACUCGCGGCUUAUCAGCUUGUUGGUGGGGUAGUGGCUUACCAAGGCUUUGACGGGUAGCCGGCCUGAGAGGGUGACCGGCCACAGUGGGACUGAGACACGGCCCAGACUCCUACGGGAGGCAGCAGGGGGGAAUAUUGCACAAUGGGCGAAAGCCUGAUGCAGCAACGCCGCGUGAGGGAUGACGGCCUUCGGGUUGUAACCCUCUUUCACCGGGGAAGAAGCGAAAGUGACGGUAAUUGGAAAAGAAGCACCGGCUAACUACGUG
rnacentral:rRNA from 1 species